rnacentral:rRNA from 1 species
CUUCAAGAUGAGGUUUCCAACCCCUACGGGGGGAGAGGCACCCAGCAGAACACUGGGUCGAUAGGCCGGACGUGGAAGCGGGGACGAAAGACCCGUGCAGCUGACCGGUACUAAUCAGCCGACAACUUCAACA